CAACCCCUUCGGGCGCCUUGGUUGCGCCUGGUCAUGAGCCCGGUAGGGUUACCCACCCUAGCCUGGUUCCAAAGUUGAACGCUCCUGCGGCAGCCCCCACCGAAAACUCAGUCCAGACGGAAACGUAGUAAGCUCUUUGGCUGACGGUUUUCUUCAAGGACUCGGGCGCUCAUCGGGUUGGCUGUUAACCGCCUGAACAAACCCUCCAUUAUCAAG
rnacentral:misc_RNA from 1 species